GAUUAACGCUGGCGGCGUGCAUAACACAUGCAAGUCGAACGAUGAAACUUUAAUGAACCCUUCGGGGAGAAUUAAAGCGGAUUAGUGGCGAACGGGUGAGUAACGCGUGAGUAACCUGCCUUACACAAGGGGAUAGCCUUUGGAAACGAAGAAUAAUACCCUAUAAAACCAUACAAGCACAUGCAAUUAUGGUCAAAGUGAUAGCGGUGUAAGAUGGACUUGCGUCUGAUUAGCUAGUUGGUGAGAUAAAAGCCCACCAAGGCAACGAUCAGAAGCCGGCUGGGGAGAGUGUACGGCAACAUUGGGACUGAGACACGGCCCAGACUCCUACGGGAGGCAGCAGUGGGGAAUUUUGCACAAUGGGGGAAACCCUGAUGCAGCGACGCCGCGUGAUUUAGAAGGCCUUCGGGUUGUAAAAAUCUUUUGUAUAGGAAGAAAAUGACAGUACUAUACGAAUAAGGUCCGGCUAAUUACGUG
rnacentral:rRNA from 1 species